AAUGAACGCUGGCGGCAGGCCUAACACAUGCAAGUCGAACGGAUCCUUCGGGAUUAGUGGCGGACGGGUGAGUAACGCGCGGGAACAUACCCAAAGGUACGGAACAGCCUCGGGAAACUGGGAGUAAUACCGUAUGUGCUCGAAAGAGGAAAGAUUUAUCGCCUUUGGAUUGGCCCGCGUUGGAUUAGGUAGUUGGUGGGGUAAUGGCCUACCAAGCCGACGCUCCAUAGCUGGUUUGAGAGGAUGAUCAGCCACACUGGGACUGAGACACGGCCCAGACUCCUACGGGAGGCAGCGGUGGGGAAUCUUAGACAAUGGGGGAAACCCUGAUCUAGCCAUGCCGCGUGAUCGAUGAAGGCCUUAGGGUUGUAAAGAUCUUUCAGGUGGGAAGAUAAUGACUGUACCACCAGAAGAAGCCCCGGCUAACUCCGUGCCAGCCGCCGCGGUAA
rnacentral:rRNA from 1 species